ACAUAAGAAUUUCUAGAUAACAAACGGUUCUUGGGGGCAUAUAUAAAUUUAUCAGAUCAAGAAAUUUUUUUCAGAGUAAGUUCAUAAAGCAAUUCGUUCAGGAGAGUUUCCAUGUGAAGUAGAUGAUCUAUUUCUCUUCUUUUCAACUGAGUACAUCAGAUUUCUGACAACGUUCAAGCAAUUGGGUAGUGUAUGGAGAUGAUUUUCUUAGUCUAGAUCUAUGGCAAAAUACGUUUUGAGAUAAGUUAUUCUGUUGGAAUUAUAUAAUGAUUAUUGAAACACAAUCUAUGAGUUAGCUUUUGCGUUAAAAUU